rnacentral:rRNA from 1 species
CUAGAGAGACUGCCAGGGAUAACCUGGAGGAAGGUGGGGAUGACGUCAAAUCAUCCUGCCCCUUAUGCUUAGGGCUACACACGUGCUACAAUGGGUAGUACAGAGGGUUGCCAAGCCGUAAGGUGGAGCUAAUCCCUUAAAGCUACUCUCAGUUCGGAUUGUAGGCUGAAACUCGCCUACAUGAAGCUGGAGUUACUAGUAAUCGCAGAUCAGAAUGCUGCGGUGAAUGCGUUCCCGGGUCUUGUACACAC